rnacentral:rRNA from 1 species
AUAUUGCACAAUGGGCGCAAGCCUGAUGCAGCCAUGCCGCGUGUAUUAAGAAGGCCUUCGGGUUGUAAAGUACUUUCAGCGGGGAGGAAGGGAGUGAAGUUAAUAACCUCAUUCAUUGACGUUACCCGCAUAAGAAGCACCGGCUAACACCGUGCUAGCAGCCGCGGUGGUACGGAGGGUGCAAGCGUUAAUCGGAAUUACUGGGCGUAAAGCGCACGCAGGCGGUCUGUCAAGUCGGAUGUGAAAUCCCCGGGCUCAACCUGGGAACUGCAUUCGAAACUGGCAGGCUGGAGUCUUGUAGAGGGGGGUAGAAUUCCAGGUGUAGCGGUGAAAUGCGUAGAGAUCUGGAGGAAUACCGGUGGCGAAGGCGGCCCCCUGGACAAAGACUGACGCUCAGGUGCGAAAGCGUGGGGAGCAAAC